AACGAACGCUGGCGGCAUGCCUAACACAUGCAAGUCGAACGAGACCUUCGGGUCUAGUGGCGCACGGGUGCGUAACGCGUGGGAACCUGCCCUUAGGUUCGGAAUAACUCCCCGAAAGGGGUGCUAAUACCGGAUAAUGUCUUCGGACCAAAGAUUUAUCGCCUUUGGAUGGGCCCGCGUUGGAUUAGCUAGUUGGUAGGGUAAAAGCCUACCAAGGCGACGAUCCAUAGCUGGUCUGAGAGGAUGAUCAGCCACACUGGGACUGAGACACGGCCCAGACUCCUACGGGAGGCAGCAGUGGGGAAUAUUGGACAAUGGGCGAAAGCCUGAUCCAGCAAUGCCGCGUGAGUGAUGAAGGCCUUAGGGUUGUAAAGCUCUUUUACCCGGGAUGAUAAUGACAGUACCGGGAGAAUAAGCACCGGCUAACUACGUG
rnacentral:rRNA from 1 species